ensembl:ncRNA lncRNA:CR45404 long non-coding RNA:CR45404
CAGCAAUUUUAAAAGAAACAAGAGCAAUGCCAGCAACAUUAGUUAGACACGCAAAUGUUAUCAACAAUUCCAGCAAAAGCAACAUAUGUAACAGCGGGAAUAUGAACAAGAGCAACAUUAACAGCAACAUGUGGAACCUAAGCAACAUUUACAACAACAUGUGGAACGAGAGCAACAUUGACAGCUGGAACUGCAACAUGACAGGAGUAACAUUAAACAGGAACAUCAAAAACAAAAGCAGUAGCAGCAACAUUAGAAACAAAAGCAACAUAGCAACAUUAGAAACAAACGCAACAACACUGCCGACACAAGACAACACCAAUGGCUUUGUAGACAACAUUAACAAAGAACGAGCUGUUCAAACAAAGUAACAACAGCAACAAAAGAGGAAGAAAACCAACAAUACUUGUAAAUAACAUUAUGGCCCAUACAGCAGCAACAAUAGUUGCU